UACAGAGGUCCCAAGCGUUGUUCGGAUUCACUGGGCGUAAAGGGUGCGUAGGUGGUCGGGUAAGUCCGAUGUGAAAUCUCCAGGCUCAACCUGGAAAUGGCAUUGGAUACUAUUCGGCUUGAGGAGUGGAGGGGGGACUGGAAUUCUCGGUGUAGCAGUGAAAUGCGUAGAUAUCGAGAGGAACACCAGUGGCGAAGGCGAGUUCCUGGACAGUUACUGACGCUGAGGCACGAAGGCCAGGGGAGCAAACGGG
rnacentral:rRNA from 1 species